UAUCUCACAUUCUCACUCUCUUCGGUGCAGGAAUAUUUUGGUAAGCCAAUUAGAGUUAGGCUGUGUAUUCCUGGGUUGGAAGUCCCGGAGUGGUUCUGUUAUAAAAAUACAGAAGGACCUUCAUUAAAUAUUCCAGCUCAUUGGCACCGUACUGCUAACACUGAUCAGUUCUUGGGAUUCACCUUCUGCGCUGUUGUCUCAUUUGGCGACAGUAAGAAAAAGCGUCCCGUUAAUAUUAGAUGUGAAUGCCAUUUGAUAACCCAAGGUGGAAACCAGAGUGAUCUCAAUUUCUACUGCUAUGAAGAAGUUGAAAGAAAGGAGCGGGGUUUAUGGGAAAGGGAUCAUGUUUUCAUCUGGAGUAUCAACUCUAACUGCUUUUUCAAGGAGGCCUCGUUUCAUUUCAAACCACUGUGGGGAACUGCUGAUGUGGUGGUUAAGUGUGGAGUCCAUCCACUGUUUGUCCAAGACUGUUGAUGAAUCCUCUGUUAUUCAAAGAAUGUGGAUGGUGUCCAUGUUCAUGUGUUCAAAGAGCCCCCCUGCCUUCACUUAUGCUUCUUCGGCUGGAACUGUACAGGCGACGUCUCCAGGUUUGUCUACUAUCCAGUGAUCGGAUUUUUGAGUGUCUUUGGUCUCUGUGAGCUAGCCUUUAAAAAAAAGCAGCAAGGCAAAUAGAUGAUGCAUAAAGUUUUGCGGGUGUCUUACAGGCUCUUUGAAUUGAUUUAACAAGCAAAUAAAGCCACAGUUGUGGUUUACUUCUUAUGUCGUAUCGUUAAUCUGUUCUUGCAUUGAUUCUGCAGUGUCUUGGAGGUGCCUUACGAUUGUUCCGCUGAGGCAGACUUGCUGCAUUCACUUUAUCGUUGAAGCUAGGUUCGAGAACAAUCGAUUCCAGAAGUCAAGGAAGCAACCAGAGACUCGAAGCAAACAUGUUGAUUGGUUUUGAUAUUGAAACACCCAGUACAUUCGUAUUGACAUUUUCACUUUCAGAUUCUGUGGUCUGCUCAGGACUCAAAACUCAACACUAAAGUUCAAUAUGUGAGAUUUUCUGAUUUUAUUCAAUUGUACAUCUCAACUCCUUGAAUUAUGUAUCCUUUAAGUUCUCUGAAUGAUGUGUCCCCUACUUCCUUGAGUGACAUGAAGGAUUUGUAUGGUAUAUUUGCAGUUCAGGCAUGUCACAGUUUCAUGUUUUUGUUCUUUUGGGGAUGUCUGGUUUGUACUCCUCUUUUUAACUUUACGUUCAUUGUGAAUGAAACCAAAGUAGAGUAUAAAAACUCUAUUUUCAUGACUAUGGUAAGAAACUUCUGUCCAAAGAAAGGUGUCGUGUCAUGUCAUGUAUAUUUCAAAUUACCUGUCAAGGUUCAGACAGUUAAGAUCUUAUGCAUCUGCAUUUCUACACUGGAAAUUAUCACCUAAAGUCUAAUUUCUACUGAUAUAGACCUCUAUCAAACAGGUGGGAAAAGAGGAUUGAGGAGUGGUGUAUCAGACUUCAUUAUUAUUAUUGCUUGAUGACUCGUAUUCAGAUCAUUAAUUACUCACUGUGGCCCUCAACUCAGGUUUCUGACAUGUAUAGUUCACAGAGUGAAGACUUAUCUAGAUUACUGUGCAAGAAAAAUGAUGUGGUUGUCAAUGACAAUGGACAAAGUGUGAUAGCUUCAUAUAUUAAGAGAAAAGUAGUAAAUUCUUCAGUGGAAACUUUAAUCAUGAUCUAGCAAGGGUUGUCUGGAAAAAGAUUCCGGAAGACCACCAGUAUCCACAAGGAAAUCACCAGGAAAUCACUGCUUGGCUGUGUUCAAAAAAGCAAAAAGGUACACGACGCUUUAACUCGUUUUGGCCGGUGGGACAUCCUACUUUUUGACUAAUUUAUACACCCAGCUACUUUCUCAUCAACUUUUCCUCACCGACAAAGUAAAGAAAAAGGAAAAGAAGAUAGAUGACUCAUUCGUUUAGGUUGAAAAUGUUUUUGUUAACAAAAUUUUAAUAUUAAAAAUAAAUUUUUAAAAAUUAAAAAAAUAUUAUGUUAAUAUAUUUUUAAAUAAAUACUUUAAUUAAAAACCAAUCUUUAAAUCAUAUUUUCUCUCACUUUUUUGUUCUAAAUUUCUAUUAACAUUAUAGUGCUUUUGAUUUUAAACAAGUGAACUUAGCUCUAGAUGAAAUAGACAGUGAACAAUUUUUUUCUCCAAUCAUUUUUUUUCCAAUCUACAUAAUUCGUGGUAUGAAACAAAGAAUUUUAACUGGUAAUCUUCUUGAUAUAGAUAAGUAUAUUUUUUUUAUUUAAAAUCUAUUAUUUUUGUGUUCUAAAAAUGUUUUUGAAGAAAAAUAAUUUUUUAAUUUUUUUGCUUUACUUUGAAUUAAUUGUUUUUUGUGGUUUUAAAUUGUUUUGAUAUAAUAAUAUUAAAAUUAAAUUUUAAAAAUAUAAAAAUAUUAUUUUAAUAUAUUUUUAAAUAAAAAAUACCUUAAAAAACAAUAAAUCUUGUAUGCAAUUUGUGGGGUUUGGUUGGAGAUAAUAAUUAAUAAAAUCUAAUUCCCCACGUAUUCUGGUCUAAUUCCUCCAUUAAUUCAACUUUUUAAAAUAAUUCAUUACAAAAAAAUGUUGAGUCUGUCUGGUGAGUCAACCCAUGCGAGUCAUUGAUGUUAUACACAUUCCUUCCAGGAAACUGACCUCAACGUCUCUUCCAUGGCACAUUAAGGAAACAAGAGAAAGAAGACGAUAUAUCCUCGUUGAGGCACAUAGAGGGUUAAAGAUCAACAAGCUGCCCUUGAUUAAUAACUGGUACAACUUUCUUCUUAUUCGUCCAUUAAUUUCUCUCUGUUUUGGGUUAGAUUCCACUUGUUUAUAUAUGUUAUUGAGAAAGAAGACGAUAUAUCCUCGCUGUGGCACACAGAGGGUUAAAGAUCAACAAGCUGCUGUGAGUUUGGCCAUUAAUUUCUCUCUGUUUUGGGUUAGAUUCCACUUGUUUGGCCAUUGCUGUAGCAUCAUUCAUGCUGUUUAUAUAUGUUAUUGAGUUUUCCCAUUGCUGUAAUUAAUUAAGAUCUCAGCUAAUUUCCCACUGGUUCCUCUCUUUAUAACUUUCAUCGCUCUUCUUUGCUGGGCUCAUAUUUUUCUUCUUAAAUAUUCCUGCUCUGUUCUUUCUAUCUCAUUAUCUUCUGACGGUUAUUAUUCACUUUUAUCUCCUUCUUUCUGAUUUUCCACAUGUUUUUGGCUUGAACCUCUGAGCUAGAGACCACUAUUAUUGUCUGAUCAUUCUAACAGACUCUUGUUUGAUCAUAUACAGCCUUUAUUUAUGAGAUAUAAGAACUCAAUUGUCUGAUCAUUCUAAUACACUCUUGUUUGAUCUAAUACACUCUAGUUAUAUUACUCAUCAUUAUAAUUAUAUCGUUUGUUUUCUUUUUGCUUGUUACAGGGAAUAAUUAUCACAAGUAGAAAGCUUACUUCUACAUAUAUCAAGCAUAUACAAAUAUGGCUUCCUCUUCUUCUCCCACAACUCCAUAUUUGAAGCACGAUGUGUUUCUCAGUUUUAGAGGCACAGACACCCGCAAUGGUUUCACCAGUCAUCUUUAUGAUGCUUUGCAGCGAAACCAAAUUGAUGCUUACAUCGAUAAUAAACUUGAUGGAGGAGAAAAGAUCGAGCCUGCCCUCUUGGAAAGGAUUGAAGAGUCGUUUAUUUCGCUAGUCAUUUUCUCUGAAAAUUAUGCAGAUUCUACUUUCUGUUUGAGGGAACUCUCCAAGAUUCUUGAGUGCAUGGAGACCAAACAACAGAUGGUCUUACCAGUAUUUUACCGACUUGAUCCAAGCCAUGUUCAAAAUCUGACUGGGAGCUAUGGAGAUGCACUUUGCAAGCAUGAAAGAGAUUGCAGUUCUGAAGAAGUAGAGAGUUGGAGACAUGCUUUGAAAGAAAUAGCUAAUCUCAAGGGCUGGGAUUCAGACGUCAUUAAGUAAGUUAUUAAUUUAGUUACAGCAUAUUAAACCCCAACUUAUUUAAACCAUUUUGUUCGAGAAUCAAUAUUGUGUUUGAUGUUAUGAUAAAAUUUCUUAGGUCUUAGCCUUUCUUCUUUAUUUAUUAUGCACUGCAGGGAUGAGACCAAGCUAAUUCAGGAAAUCGUUACUGACAUUCAAAAGAAAUUGAACCAUGAGCUGUCACUCACACUCGAUGCAGAAGGCCUUGUUGGAAUGAAAUCACGCGUUGAAGACAUCGAAUCAUUACUAUCCUUUGGAUCAACUGGUGUGCUCAUUGUGGGAAUCUGGGGGAUGGGUGGUAUAGGUAAGUCAAGGAUGGCUGAUUUUGUGUAUCAUCGAAACUGUAGUAAAUUUGAAGGCCAUUGCUUUUUCCAAAAUGUUAGGGAAGAAUCAAGAAGCAUGGAGUAAAUGUGUCGACAGGAAAUUCUUGGUGAAGUAUUAGAGAAAAAGAUAUGACUAUACGCCAAAAGGUUACCCCGGCAUUAAGCGAAUGCUUCAAAGAAAAAAAGUCCUCAUAGUUCUUGAUGAUGUCAAUGAUCCCAAGAUUUAAAAUAUUUAGUAGGAGAGGAUGGUUUGUUUGGCCAAGGAAGUAGAAUCAUUGUGACAAGUAGAGAUAGGCAAGUGCUUAUUGCAUGUGAUGAAGACAAAAUUUACGAGGUUAAAAUUUUAGAUGAAGACGAUGCACUUCGACUCUUCAGCUUACAUGCUUUUAAACAAGAUCGUCCCAUUGAAGGAUAUAUUGGGCUAUCAAAAACUGUGGUAAGCUGUGUUAAGGGCAUUCCAUUAGUUCUCGAGGUUUUAGGUGGCAUUCUAUGCAAUAAAAGGAGUGUUGAAUACUGGGAAAGUAAGGUGGCACAGCUAAGAAGAAAUGGUAGCGAGGACAUUAAGAAACAUUUGGAAAUGUGCUAUCAUGAAUUAGAUCAGACAGAAAAGAAAAUAUUUCUUGAUAUAGCAUGUUUCUUUGGACGGUGCAAAAGGGAUCACCUCCAACAAACACUAGAUCUGGAAGAAAGAAGUGGGAUAUAUCGUCUCAUUGAUAUGUGUCUCAUAAAAAUUGUUCAAAACAAGAUCUGGAUGCAUGAUGUGCUAGCAAAACUAGGGAAAAAAAUUGUCCACCAAGAAAACGUUGACCCUAGAGAACGUAGCAGGUUGUGGGAGGCUGAUGAUAUCUAUCGUGUAUUAACAACUCAGGUAGCAUUUCCAAGUGAUUUAAUUGACUGUUGCUUGACUUUCUUGUUUAUAGCUAAGAGAUGUAGCCUUGGACAAGAAUAAAUAUCAAGGCAUAGUUGUUAUAUAUGUACUGAUUUACACUUUGCUUUUUCUUCUUCUUCUUUAUUUGUUAUAUAUGUACUGAUUUACACUUUGCUUUUGUUAAAUAGGGGACUGGAUCAAAAGUGGAAAGCAUUUCCCUCAACUUGCUUGCAAUUACUAAAGAAAUGAUCUUAAGUCCUACAGCAUUUGAAGGGAUGUAUAAUUUAAGAUUGCUCAAAAUCUACUACCCAUCUUUCUUAACGGAUCCCUCAAAGGAGCAAAUUAUGCACGGAAAAAGGGUCGGAAUCUACCUUCCAGGAGGGCUUCACUUUCUUUCAAGUGAGCUAAGGUUUCUCUACUGGUAUAAUUACCCUUUGAAAUCCUUGCCAUCAAAUUUUUCCCCUAGGAAACCUUAUCAACUUGAAAUGCAUUGUAGCCAGCUUGAACAACUUUGUAAUGAAUACCAGGUAUAUAUGCUUUAUCACCCUUCUUUUUCAAAUAGAGGACAUUUUUGAAAUUAUUCAUAACAUUUAUCUUUUCUUACAUUACUUUUUUGUUUUUUUUUUAUCACCCUUCCUCAAAGCCGAGCUUAAUUGAUUCAAACCUGUCUAAAGUCCCACACCUUGAGGUUCUACAUUCAGGUAUACCUUCCUCGGUUAAAUACAGCACCAGACUUACCACAUUAAAGCUUCCCAGACUUGAUAGUUUCUGUACUUUGCCAUCAUCAAUUGGGUGCCUCUCUCAACUUGUUAGAUUAAACUUAUCUUCAUGUGAAAGUCUUGCUAGUCUACCUGACAACAUUGAUGAGUUCAAAUCUCUUGUAGAGCUUACUCUUUAUUCUUGCUCAAAACUAGCAAGUCUUCCAAAUAGCAUUUGCAAGUUGAAAUGUCUUACUGAGCUUAAUCUUGGUCAUCAGCCAAAACUAGCAAGUCUACCAGACAACAUUGGGGAGUUGAGAUCUCUUGUAAAGCUUAGUCUUUCUUCUUGCUCAAAACUAGUUAGUCUACCAGACAGCAUUGGCGAGUUGAGAUCUCUUGUAGAGCUUAAUCUUUCUUCUUGCUCAAAACUAGCAAUUCUACCAGACAACAUUUGCGAGUUGAGAUCUCUUCAAUCAUUCGAUCUUUAUUAUUGCUUUGGACUAGCAAGUCUACCAGACAACAUUGGCGGGUUGAAAUCUCUCAUAUUUCUUUGCUCAAGUCUAGAAAGUCUACAAGACAACAUUGACGGGUUGACAUCUCUCAAAUGGCUUGAUCUUUGUGGUUGCUCAGGACUGGCAAGUCUACCGGACAGUAUUGGUGCAUUGAAAUCUCUUGAAUACCUUGAUCUUCGUGGUUGCUCAAGACUAGAAAGUCUACCGGACAGUAUUGGUGCAUUGAAAUCUCUUAUAAACCUUGAUCUUUUUGGUUGCUCAGGACUAGCAAGUCUACCGGACAGUAUUGGUGCAUUGAAAUCUCUUGAAUACCUUGAUCUUUGUGCUUGCUCAGGACUAGCAAGUCUACCGGACAGUAUUGGUGCAUUGAAAUCUCUUGAAAACCUUAAUCUUCGUGAUUGUUUAGGAUUAGCAAGUCUACCGGACAGUAUUGGUGCAUUGAAAUCUCUUGAAAACCUUGAUCUUUGUGAUUGCUCAGGACUAGCAAGUCUACCGGACAGUAUUGGUGCAUUGAAAUCUCUUAAAAACCUCUAUCUUUAUGCUUGCUCAGGACUAGCAAGUCUACCGGACAGAAUUAGCGAGUUGAAAUCUCUUGAACAGCUCUAUCUUAAUGGUUGCUCAGGACUAGCAAGUCUACCGGACAGAAUUGGCGAGUUGAAAUCUCUUGAACAACUCUAUCUUAAUGGUUGCUCAGGACUAGCAAGUCUACCAGAUAGAAUUGGCGAGUUGAAAUCUCUUCAACACCUCGAACUUAAUGGUUGCUCAAGACUAGCAAGUCUACCGGACAGAAUUAGCGAGUUGAAAUCUCUUGAACAACUCUAUCUUAAUGGUUGCUCAGGACUAGCAAGUCUACCGGACAGAAUUAGCGAGUUGAAAUCUCUUGAACAGCUCUAUCUUAAUGGUUGCUCAGGACUAGCAAGUCUACCAGACAAAAUUGGCGAGUUGAAAUCUCUUGAACAGCUCGAACUUAAUGGUUGCUCAGGACUAGCAAGUCUACCAGGCAGAAUUGGCGAGUUGAAAUCUCUCAAAUUGCUUAGUCUUAGUGAUUUCUCAAUACUAACAAGUCUAUCAGAUAUCAUUGGCGCGUUGAAGUCUCUUGAAUACCUUAGUCUUUAUGAUUGCCCAGGAUUAGCAAGUCUACCGGACAACAUUUGCGUGUUGAAAUCUCUCAAAUCGCUUUAUCUUAGUGGUUUUUCAGGACUAGCAAGUCUACCAGACAACAUUGGCGAGUUGAAAUCUCUUGAAUCACUUAGUCUUUAUGAUUGCUCAGGAUUAGCAAGUCUACCGGACAGCAUUGGCGAGUUGAAAUCUCUUGAAUCACUUAAUCUUUGUGGUUGCUCAGUAUUAGCAAGUCUACCAGACAGCAUUGGUGCAUUCAAAUCUCUUGAAUCGCUUCAUCUUUAUGAUUGCCCAAGAGUAGCAAGUUUACCGGACAACAUUGGUGAGUUGAAAUCUCUAACAUUGCUUGAUCUUCAUGGUUGCUCAGGACUAGCAAGCCUACCAGACAGCAUUGGCGAGUUGAAAUCUCUUGAAUCGCUUCAUCUUCAUGAUUGCUCAGGACUAGCAAGCCUACCAGACAACAUUGGCGAGUUGAAAUCUCUUAAAUGGCUUGAUCUUUGUGGUUGUUCAGGACUAAAAAGUCUACCGGACAGCAUUGACGAGUUGAAACAUCUUACUCAGCUCAUUCUCAGUGGUUGCUUAAAACUAGCGAGUCUUUCAGACAACUUCAUUGAUCUUAAAUUUAGAGUACUUGACAAACAUCCUUGUUAUAUGCUGAGAGGAUUCUAGAAAGUAGAAGAAAAUGCAUCAUACAUGUAUAAAUUGUCUUGCCAUCAAUUUUUAAAUUUGGGAAAUUCACGUGUGUCAAAACUAUAGAGAGCUUAGGCUCUUUAGUGUCGCUAACAAAAUUGAGAUUAUCUGAGAUUGAUUUUGAGAGGAUACCUACAAGCAUCAAGCACCUUACUAAGCUAAGUGAACUCUAUUUAGAGCACUGCAAGCGGCUUCAAUGUUCACCAGAGCUUCCAUCGACCCUAAAAGUUUUAAUCGCAUCAGGUUGUAUCUCUCUAAAAUCUGUAGCAAGUAUAUCCAUGCAAGGUGAUAUAGAAUAUGAAGUUGCUUCUCAGGAAUUCAAUUUCUCUAAUUGCCUCCAACUGGAUCAGAAUUCACGCACUAGAAUUACGGGUGAUGCCCGUUUACGAAUUCAAUGCAUGGCAACAUCAUUGUUUUAUCAGGUGAAUUCCUCCCUCGAUUUUGAUUUAUUUAAAGAAAAAAAUCACGAUAAUUUUUUAUAUGUAUCUCACAUUCUCACUCUCUUCGGUGCAUGAAUAUCAUUGGAAGCUCGUUAGAGUUCGGUUGUGUAUUCCUGGGUCGGAAGUCCCGAAGUGUUUCAGUUAUAAAAAUAAAGAAGGAUCUUCAGUAAAAAUCCGGCAACUAGCUCAUUGGCAUCGUGGUUUCACUUUAUGCGUUGUUGUUUCCUUUGGCCAAAGCGGGAAAAUGCGUCGGGUUAAUAUUGAAUGUGAAUGCCAUUUGAUAAUCAAAGAUGGAACCCAGAUUGAUCUUAGUUCCUACUACUACAACGAAUACGAAGCAAUGGUUAUGAGUCCUACUAUAUGGAAAAGGGAUCAGCAUGUGUUCAUUUGGAGUGUCCACUGUAAGUGCUUUUUCAAGGAGGUCUUGUUUCAUUUCAAACCACGGUGCGGAGCUACUGAUGUGGUGGUUGAGUGUGGAGUCCAUCCAUUGUUAAAGUAGGAGCAACCAUACGCUAAAAUGGACAAACUUGUGAGAUUGGUAACUCGUCUUCUCCUCUUUUUUUUCUAUACAAAUAUUUAUGAAACAACUCAAUUAAAAUGAAACCAGAUAGUCUUAUGUAUUAGAGAUGAAAAGGAUAUAUUUAUCCUCCUAGUUUAACAUGAUUCUUAACUAGGUCCCCGAACAAAACAAAAUAAUAAUUAUCAAUUGGAUCCCAUCUAUCACAUGUUAUCAAUUAAGCCCACCAUUAAAAUUUAUGGUAUAAAUGACAUCAUUUCAAGGGGUGCAUGGUUCUAAGGUCUUGAUAAAAAAAAAACAAUUUGUUCUAUAGGUUAACUCGGGUCAUUUUUUUGUUUUUUAAUAGAUUUUUUUUUUAAUUUCAUCCUUCAACAUUAAGUUAAUUGAGAAUUUGGUUUCAUAUUUUUUUAUUAUUUUCUAUGAGUUUAUCGUGAUCUCAAGAUCCAUGCUACAAGUUUUAUGAGUUAGCAAGGUUGGCUCAAAUGUUUUUUGGUCUUUUUUAUUUUAUUUUUUGUUAUUUCAUCCCUCAACAUUGGAUUGAUUGAGAAUUUAACUUCCUAUUUUUAUUUUAUUUUAAUCUAUAAAUUUAUCAUGGUCUUAUGAUUCGAGUUUAUUAUGUUAACCCGGGUUGACUCAAUAUAUUUUUUUAAUUGGUUUUUUUUAAUCUUAUCCUUCAACAUUAGGCUGAUUGGUGAUUGAAAUUUGUAAUUUUUUUCUAUUUAUUUUUUAUGGGAUUAUCUUGGUUUUCUAACCUGGAUCGCGAGUUUAACAAGUUAACUUGGGUAGUGUAAACUUGACUGGAUUUUUCAUUCACCAUGCAGUGCAUUAAGAUCAUUUGACUAAAAUGAUUAUUUUAUUUUUUCAUUUUGCUAACAGUGCUUUGUCGCUUGUAAACAAAAUAUGGACAGAGUAAUGAAGUAUCAAUUAGAGGAGACGUACAUAGCUUCGGUAUCAUGCAGCUGGAAUUGAUAACAAGGCAAAGACCAACAGGAGAAACGCUCGUAGACGAGCUUGAUAUAAGGAAGGAGCGAGGCUAAAAGGGUUUUUUUUUUCAUUUUCAGAUAUUUUUUACAGAACAACUAUGUUGCCUUUCAAUUGACCAAACAGAUUGGGUUAAAAGGAACAACUUCCUUAAUUUUAAAUCAAAGCUUAGUAAGAAGUUGGGUUAAAAGGUUAAUUUCUUAGCAAUUUCAUUUUUUUCUUUUAAUUUUUUUCUUGGGGUUUUUUUACCGGAUAUUAGGGAUGUUUUUAGAUUCUAAUUUUAAACCUAAGAUAGGUAAGGAGUCAGAUCAAAAAAAUUUAAAUUUGGAAAAAUAUCAAAUAAUUUUCUACGAUUAAAAUAUUUUUUAUUAUGUUAAAAAAAUUAAUUCAACUACAGGGUAUUAUAAAAUUAUAAACUAAUAAUAUUUAGAAGACUUGGGAGUAAUUUAUAAGUAAUUAAAGUACUAAUAAAAAAACAAUCAAAACAAAAAAAAAAAUUUCUAAAUGAGCUCGAUUAACUACCAAUCAGACAACACCAGUACAUAGCCCAAAACCAAAGGCCCAAUUCAUUCCGUCUCUUUUUCUGUAUCGAUCGAUGCGCAUAAAUUCUUGAAUUAUUUUAUUUUAUUUUUAUGGUUCUUGUUUUAUAGAUGGAAAUUGUUUGAUUUCUCUCAGAUCUGACGUUCAAAAUGAUUGAAGAGAUCUGCGAUCGUAUCAAGACAGUUCAAAUUUCAGAUUGCAGCCCUUCUCUCUCUUCGACCACAGGUUAGAAGAAGUAGCUUCACUUUGUUUAAUUAAUAUUUCUCUGAAAUUGAUUUUUUUAAAAAAAUUUCAGUUGAAUCCGUAGAAGAUACGAAAUUCGAUACAGGUUCGUGUUUUUAUUAAAAAAAAAAUCUAUUAGAAAUUAUUUGUUGAAGUACUGAUUAUCAGUGUUUUUUUUUUUUUGCUUCUGCUUAGGCUUAGAAAUUGUAAUUGUGAAUUAUUUGAUUUUAUUUGUUAUUGAAUUUAAUUGUUUAUUUAUCUUUUUAAUUCUUGGGUUUCUAAUUUUUAAAGUCGUUUUUAAUUAAGAGGAAAAAAAAGAGUUAAAUGAGUCAAAUUCGGUGCUGUAGAACUGUAGACAUUUGUUUUAUAUUGAAAUUGUUUUGACUCGAAAGGUUAUUUUGAUUUAAUGUUUUCGGGAGAAACUAUUAAUUCGGAGGAGGAGAGCGUAUCUAAUAGAAUUCAACAAGUUUCCCCAUCUCAGGGGCCAACACUGCCCAUUUUGCAGAAAAUUAUCAAUUUAAGUGAUAAAAUUCAGGUACUUAUUUUGAACUUUGGUGGUGUUGGGUAUCGUAUAGAUGACUUGAAAAGACUUGGUUUUAGUUGUAGAAUUCAGGCAAUUUUAAAUUUCAUUGUUUUAGCUAGUGAAUUAGGAUUUUGCAUUAUUAUGUUGAUGGGUAUUGAUUUGUUAUCUUUCUUUGAAUUUAAUUGUUUUUUUUUGAAGAAAGAACACUCAAAUCUCUCUAAUCAAGUAAAGACUGCCAAGGAUUCCUUUCUUGGCCCCAAUAUUUUAGACACCCUUCAAAAACUCGGUGAGUAUCCAAUAGUGAAACUAAUUUAUUUCUUCUUUUCAUUUUUUAUUUUUUUAGAGGGGUUUGGUUUUGAUAGUCUACUAGUUGAAAUAUUGGUCAGGUAAUGAAUAUGAACUUCUUAAAAAGAAGUAUCUACAAGAGUUGUCUGAGAGGAAGAGGCUUUACAAUGAGGUGAUAGAGCUUAAAGGGAAUAUUAGGGUCUUCUGUAGAUGCAGACCACUAAAUCAAGUCGAAAUAACACAUGGUUCGAGCUAUGUAGUUGAUAGUUUACUUGUUGAAAUAUUGGUCAUGUAAUGAAUAUGAACUUCUUAAAAAGAAGUAUCUACAAGAGUUGUCUGAGAGGAAGAGGCUUUACAAUGAGGUGAUCGAGCUUAAAAGGAAUAUUAGGGUCUUCUGUAGAUGCAGACCACUAAAUCAAGUCGAAAUAACAAAUGGUUCGAACUAUGUAGUUGAAUUUGACUCUUCCGAAGAUAAUGAGUUGCAGAUCAUUUCCUCUGAUUCUUCCAAAAAGCAAUUUAAGUGGUCCAUGUUUUUGGGCCUGAGGAUAAUCAAGGUGAUCUGAUGUUUUAUUUUAUGUAUUGCUACUGCAGACAUCCUGUUAAAGAUUAUGUGUGCAAUUGAAGCUUUUAAUCCUUUGUCUUUGUGAUAUGCAGAGGCUGUUUUUGUACAAACUAAACCAAUAGUUGCUUCAGUUUUGGAUGGCUACAAUGUCUGCAUAUUCGCCUAUGGACAAACUGGAACUGGAAAGACGUUUACUAUGGAGGGCAGCCCAGAAAAUAGGGGAGUGAACUACAGAACAUUGGAUGAGUUGUUCGGAGUUUCUCAAGAAUAUGGUCUUUUUGUUAGUAUGAUGGAGGUUUACAAUGAGAAGAUAGGGACCUCUUGAUUGAUAGUUCCAACCAACCGCCUAAAAAGUUAGUUUCCUCUUUUAUUGCUACUGUAUUGAUCUUAUAAUCAAAAUAUAGUCAUUUAUAUCAAAUUUUUUGAUAGUUUGUUGCGAGUAACAGUGAAAGGAGAGAAUUUAAUAGAUGGACAAAAGACAAGAAGUCACCUAUGGAUGGUCGAUUUGGCUGGUAGUGAAAGUGUGGGAAAGAUUGAUGUUGAAGGUGAAAGAUUGAAGGAAUCGCAAUUCAUUAAUAAAUCUCUUUCAGCACUUGGAGAUUUUAUAUCUGCCCUCGCAUCUAAAACUGGCCACAUUCCUUUCAGGUCUUUCUCUCACACAGUCACUCUUGUAACAUGCUAUCCAAUGACCAUAUUAAAGAAGAUAUUUGUUUUCUUCCAAUCAGGAAUUCAAAGCUAACCCAUAUGCUACAGAGCUCUCUCGGUGAGUAUUAAGUUUACUAUUUUUUAUGGUUGCAGUCACUCUUAUUGUCUUGUUUGUCAGUAAAUGAUAAGUGAAACAUGAAUGCAGGAGGAGAUUGUAAGACCUUGAUGUUUGUCCAAAUAAGUCCAAGUGCUACUGACCUUGGAGAGACGCUUUGUUCACUAAAUUUUGCGAGUCGAGUGCGAGGAAUUGAAAGUGGUCCUGCCCGCAAACAGGCUGAUCUCUCUGAACUUUUCAAAUACAAGCAAAUGGUAUAUAUAUACUGCUCGUAUUUGAUGAAAUUUCUUUUGUCUCAGUUUCUUUUAUCUUGAUUCUUAUUUUCUUUCCUGCUAUCUUUCCAAUUACAAAUAAUCAGGUAGAAAAGUUAAAGCAUGAUGAGAAGGAAACAAAGAAGUUACAGGAUAGCUUGCAAUCAUUGCAGUUGAGGCUUGCUGCUAGAGAACGUAUGUGCAGAACUCUCCAAGAAAAGGUAAUUCUGAUGGCUUGAGCUCCAUUUAAUGCUUUUUUUAUUUAUUAUUACUAUGAAACAUGUGGAAAAUAUAUUGGAGAUGUUUUUUCGUUUUUCUUUUGCUUUUAUUGUCCCUUAAAUGGCAUUUUAAGUCAUUUUGUAGACUAACAAAUAACUUUUCUUACAAUAGGUUCGAGAGCUUGAGAAUCAAUUAGGGGAGGAAAGAAAAACCAGACUAAAGCAGGAAACACGAGCCUUCGCUGCUGCUUCUCAGUCUACGAAACAAGUAGUAGAGAAGAGAAAAGUAGAUAAGAAGCCACUCUGUGUCCUUCAAAGUUAAGGAUGCCGUUGCGAAAAAUCACCAAUUUCAUGCCUCCGCCACCUCUACAAAAACAGAAAACGGUUCUGUUUUAUCUUCAAUACAUGACAAAGAAAACAAUCCAAGAACCACAAAUGCAGGAACAAGUACAAAAAGCCUUAUGAAACCCAGACGUAUGUCUGUUGCAGUCAGACCUCCUCCUCCAAUUUCAGCACAGGUUUUUCAGCCUAAGAGACGGGUCUCCAUUGCUACCUAUCGUUUAGAGCCAACCUCAAACAUGACACCUCUUCAAACCUCGCAAUAUAAAAAUGGGAAUGUAGUUGGCAGGCAGUCAUUUGUCAGGGACCCAAGAAAGCCAAGGAAUUCAAAGCUGUUCUCUCCGUUGCCAGAGUUCAGGACUGCAUCGGAGACCACACCUACUGUUAUGAGAACCAGUAGUAAAUUCAUGGGGAGUCCUCCACCACAAGCAGGUUCUUGGAAGCCAAAGCACCCAACUGCUGUUGCACUGCAACGAAAAUCUCUGGUGUGGAGCCCGCUAAAGUUAAGGAGCUAAUGAGGUGCAAUAAAACUUAGUCUUCAUUUUCAUGAUAAAUAGUUGGAGUAUACUUUUUUUUUCUUGAUUCCCCUCUUCCCAUUUUUCUUACAUGAAUUUUAUCAUUUCUCCUCUGGAUAUUAAUCGCAAUUGUAUGCUACUUGCCUACUCAUUCGCUGUUGUAUGUUAUUUGCUUUCCUACAUGAGUCAACAACUCCAUUCAACAGUGAGAAACACAGAAAAAAAAACACACAUAGGAGUUUUUCGAUGCUUUAACUCAUCUUGGCUAGUGGGACAUCCUGCUUUUUGACUCAUUUAUACACCUGUGUUUAACACAAGAUAGAGCUCUACAUCAACAAUUGAUAGAUACACUUCCUCUCCAGUCUCAUCAAUUAUUUAAGAUAAGAGAAUGAUUGCUAUUAUCGACCAUCUUCCUCUCCAGUCUCUGUCUCAACUAAAAAUAGUUUAAGCAAAAGUCAUGUUAAUUCCCAGUAAUCCAAUCAACUGCUUUCGAGUUCUCCUAAUAAUUUAAGAUACACUUUAAAUUUAAUUGAUAUUAUUGUUUUAAGUAUCAACAAUUAUUGUUUUUUAUCUGUUCGUAAACAAUAACAUAACAAAGGCUAGAGUGUGAGUGGAUGUAUCGCAACCUGUCAAUAACUUCAAGCCACAAAAUCUUAAUUUAAACCAAAACGCAACAUCUUGCAUGAUUUAAGAUUCAAUCGUAAAAAGGACAUGUUACUAAUGAGAUUAAGUAUCUAUUUGUUUUUGUAUUUUAAAAGUAUUUAAAAAAAAAUUAUUUUUUUAUUAAUUUCAAAUUAAUAUAUUUUUAGUAUUUUUAAAUUAUUUUGAUAUACUAAUAUUAAAAAUUAUUUAAAAAACAAUUAUUAGUAUAUAUUUUAACCUAAAAAAUUAUUUUAAGCACACUUUUAAUGUCAAUGUUAUUAAAGGACACGUACAAUUAAAGCUCAUUUUCAAGCUCACGAUAUACUUUUUGAGAGUUAGCUAGCCACGAGUGUGACCUACCAGCUAGAUGGCCAUACUCCUUGACGUGCCUAAUCAGUCAUAAAUAAUGUAGUUUUUAAUUGAAAAAUGAUAAAUAAUAAGGAAAAUUUGAAAAUAAAAUAAAAAGUAAAUAAAAAUUUAAAAUAAUUUAAAUUAUGUGAUCAAUUCAUAAGAAAAAAAAGAAAAUAGUGUUUAUGUAAAUAAUAUAAAACAAUAAUAGAUCUUUAAAUGAACUAAAUAAUAAAGAGGUAAAGUAAAUAUGUUUUGAAAUAAAAAUAUAAUCCUAAAAAUUUAGUAGAAUAAUACGAUUUAUGCAAGGAUAAUACAAAAAAAACUUAGAUGUUGAUAUAAAAUUAUUUAUAAAUUAGUUUUAUUCUAUGAAACAUAACUUUUAAUUUAAUUAUUAAAUAAAAAUAAAUUUUUUUAAAAAAUCUUCUAACAUAUUAUUUUAUUAUAAGUUAAAAUUUUAAAUCAAGUUCAGAAAAAUUGUACAAGAAUGUCAGCAGCAUUCGGACAAAAAAAUAGCAUGUAAACUUAUUAAUGGUAUUUUUGUAAAUAAACUAGAUGAGCUGGAAAUUUCAGUUUCUUCUUCUCCUGGGCAAUCCCUACAGAAGACAUUGUCCUUUUUUGUAUUGUGCUUCUAACAUGUCUUGAGAAAUGGGUUAUUCUCCAUCAUUAAUUACUACUAUCUCUUAUAUCAAACACUUUUUCAUGAUCCCCCUCUCAAAGAAGUAGCUCCUCCUUACUAGAAAAUUAAUUGUGAAUUUUGAACAUUAUCGGCUAUGUAUGGAUGUAUAUAGUGAGUUUUUUUUUUAUUAUUCUUUUUAAAUGCAUUUGUUUUUUCAUUUUCAUCCAUUAAUAUUAGAUUAAUUAAGAAUUAGAUUUCAUAAUUUAUUUCGGUUUGUUUUCUAUAAAAAUAGCCCGACUUCAUAACUCGAGUCACAGGUUUGAUUGGAUAGCUCAGGUUAAAUCAAGUGGCUUUUUCAUGUAUUUUGUUAAUUGUUUUUUUUUACAAUUUUUUUUUAAUUUUAGGUUGAUUGGAAAUUGAGUUUUCAAUAUUAGACAAUUAUCUAGUAUUAACUUUAAACUAAAAGAGGAGAGGUUUUUAUUGUACCCUUCGCCACUAAGCACUAUUCAUUGGAAUAAUGAUUUGCUUAUUUUUUUCUAUACUUUUUUUUUUCGAUCAAUGUUUUUUUUUUUAAUUUCAUCAUUUAAUAUUAGAUUAUUAUUUUUAUUGAGUUAUUUCACUUUCAUGAUACAGAUUGCUGGUCUAGCGGGUUAACCCGGUUACCUCAAUUUUUUGCUUUAAUUUCAUCAUUUAAUAUUGGAUUGAUCUGAAAUUAGAUAUUAUGAUUUGUUUUGUUAACUUUCUAUUGUGUUAUUUUAGUCUCAUGGCCGGAGAAUCGUGCUUAAUGAGUUAACCCGAGUUGACUCAAAUAGUUUUUUAUGUUUUUUUUAUUGUUUUUUUUUCAAUUUUAUCUUUCAACACUAAGUCAGUUGGAAAUUGAUUUUUUUAUAUAUAUAUAUAUAUAUAUAAUUAUUUACUUUCUAUAGAGAUAUCAAGGUUGCAAGUUUUGGUAUUUUAACACUGGUGAAAUCGAGUCAUUUUUAUUUUCUUUUUAGAAGGUUAUCUUGGUCUCAUGACUCGGGUCACAGAUCCUUCAAUAUUGAAUUUGCUUUUUAUUGGUUUGUCCUCAUCUCAUGACUUGAGUUGUUGGUUUGGCAGGUUAACUUAAUUGACUUAGUUUGUUUGGCAGGCUUUACGAUUUAUUUUGGUUUGUUUUUUAUUAGGUUAUCUCAAUCUCAUGACCCGGGAAUAGUGUUUAACAACUUCAUCCAAGUUGACUUAACUUAUUUUUAUAUCAUUUUUUAAUUAUUUUUUUUAUAAACUUCAUCGUUCAACAUUGAGUCUGACAAGAGUGAUUGAUAAUUGAACUUCAUAAUUUAUUUUGAUUUGCUCUUUAUGAGGUUAUCUAAGUCUUAUGAUUAAAGUCAUGGAUUUGGCAAGUUAAUCUAAAUUAAGUGAAGUUGUUUUUUUUUUUUUUUAUGUUCUUUUUAUUAUGUUAUCUCAAUCUGAUGUCCCAGGUUAUUGGUUUUGUUGAUUGUCUCGUGUUGUUUUUUAUCUUGAUUUUUUAAUCUCAUCUUUCAACAUUAUAUUAAUUGGUAAUUGAAAUCUGUAAUUUAUUUAGAUUUAUUUUUCAUUGCGUUAUCUCGGUCUUAUGAUCCGGGUCGCGAGUUUGACAGGUUAAUCCGGAUAUUGUUUUUAGGUCUUUUUUUAAUUAAUUUUUUUUCAAUUUCAUCUUUUAAUAUUGAAUGAAUUAGAAGUUAAACUUCAUAAUUUACUUUGAUUUUCUUUCCACUAGGUUGUGGUUUACUUCUUAUGUCUUAUCAUUAACUUGUUCGAUCUUGCAUUGAUUCUGCAGUGUCUUGGAGGUGCCUUACGAUUGUGCAGCUGAGGCAGACUUGCUGUAUUCCCUAAUCGUUAAAGCUAGGUUCUAGAACAAUCGAUUCCAGAAGCCAACGAAGCAACCAAAGAUUUCAAGCAAACAUGUCGAUUGGUUUUGAUAUUGAAACACCCAUUACAUUCGUAUUGACAUUUUCACUUUCAGAUUUUGUGUUCUGCUCAGGACUCAAAACUCAACACUAAAUAUGAAGGAUUUGUAUGGUAUAUUUGGAGUUCAGGCAUGUCAAAGUUCCAUGUUUUUGUUCUUUUGGGGAUGUAUGGUUUGUACUCGUAUUAACUUUAUGUUCAUUGUGAAUGAAACCAAAGUACAGUAUAAAAACUCUAUUUUCAUGACUAUGGUAAGUAUCUUCUGUCCAAAGGAAGGUGUCAUGGCAUGUAUAUUUCAAAUUACCUGUCGAGGUUCAGACAGUUAAAAUCUUAUGCAUCUGCAUUUCUACACUGGAAAUUAUCACUCUAAGUUCUAAAGUCUAAUUUCCACUGAUAUAGACCUAUAUCAAACAGGUGGGAAAAGAGGAUUAAGGAGUAAUGUAUCCUUUAAGUUCUCUGAAUGAUGUGUCCCCUACUUCCUUGAGUGACAUGAAGGAUUUGUAUGCUAUCUUUGCAGUUGAAUAUGUCAAAAACUAUGGUGAGAAACUUCUGUCAGAAGAAGGCUGUCAUGUAUCUUGUGAAUCUGCAUUUCUACACUGGAAAUUAUUUACUCUUAAGAUCAAAAGUCUAAUAUGAAAUGGAAAUAAUAAAUUGUGGACCACUGGUGGGAAAAGAGGAUUGGGGAGUGAAGACCAUGGAAUACUUAUCUAGAUUACUGUGGAAGUAAAGUGAUGUGGUUGUCAAUGACAAUGGACAAAGUAUGACAGCUUCACCUAAUUAUCAUCGCCAAGAAGGUAGGAAAAAAGCAUCCACUUGCAAGAAUUUAAUGGCUGUGCCAGUGUUCUGUCUCAUCUUUUUUCUCAUGCCAGGAGCAUCGGCAUUUGUUUGCAAUUUUACUGAUUGUGAAGCUCUUCUCAAAUUCAAGGCAGGCAUAACAAGUGAUCCGGAAGGAUACGUCAAGGAUUGGAAUGAAGCCAAUCCUUUCUGUAACUGGACCGGAGUUACAUGCCACCAAUCUCUCCAAAACCGGGUUAUAGAUCUUGAGAUUACAGACAUGCGCUUAGAAGGAAGUAUAUCGCCAUUUCUAUCCAAUCUCUCUCUUCUCACCAAGCUUUCCUUUCAGGGUAAUAAUUUCCGUGAAGAAAUCCCAACUACCUUGGGAGCACUCUCACAGUUAGAAUAUCUGAAUAUAAGUGAAAAUAAGCUCUCUGGUGCCUUGCCAGCUUCACUACAAGGCUGUCAAAGCUUGAAAUUUCUAGACUUGUCUGUUAACAACCUAUCUGGGGUCAUUCCUGAAGAACUAGGAUGGAUGAAGAAGCUGAGUUUCUUAGCUCUCUCUGUAAACAACCUCACUGGGGUCAUUCCGGCCUUUUUGUCAAACCUGACAGAAUUGACACAGCUACAACUGGCUGUGAACUACUUUACUGAGCAAAUCCCUGUGGAGCUUGGAGUUUUGAGCAGGCUUGAGAUUUUGUAUUUGCACACGAACUUUCUUGAGGGAACAAUACCUGAAUCACUAAGUAAUUGCACUGCAUUGAUUGAGAAUCGAUUAUCCGGGGAAAUCCCUUCAGAGAUGGGGAACAAGCUCCAAAACUUGCAGAAGUUGUAUUUUAUGGACAACAAUAUUUCUGGUAGGAUUCCGGUGACAUUAUCAAAUCUUUCACAGAUAACACUGCUUGAUUUGAGUAUCAAUUACUUGGAGGGUGAAGUUCCCGAGGAACUGGGGAAGUUGAAGAACCUUGAGAUUCUUUACCUCCAUAGCAACAACCUGGUUAGCAAUUCUUCUCUCAGUUUUCUUACUGCUCUCACAAACUGUUCAUUUAUGAAGAAACUGCACUUGGGCUCCUGUUUAUUUUCUGGGAGUUUACCUGCUUCCAUCGGAAAUCUUUCGAAAGACCUCUACUAUUUCAAUCUUUUGAAUAACCGUAUAAGAGGAGAGAUUCCAGGUAGUAUUGGAAACUUGAGUGGCCUCGUGACCCUACAACUGUGGUACAAUCACUUGGACGGGACAAUUCCAGCAACUUUUGGAAAGCUGAAGCUGUUGCAAAGACUAUAUUUGGGGAGAAACAAGCUACAAGGUUCCAUUCCAGAUGAAAUGGGGCAGAUGGAAAACCUUGGCUUACUUGAUCUUGCCAAUAAUUCCAUAACCGGGUCAAUCCCUUGUUCACUUGGUAACCUCUCACAGUUGAGAUACCUUUACCUAUCUCAGAACAGCUUAUCAGGAAAUAUUCCCAUCAAACUCAGCCAGUGCAUGCUCUCUCAUGAUGCAGCUGGAUUUAUCUUUUAACAGCUUGCAGGGGCCUCUUCCACCAGAAAUUGGAGUUUUUGCUAACUUGGGGCUCUCCCUCAACCUUUCAAAUAACAAUCUAGACGGGGAAAUACCUGCAACUAUUGGAAAUCUGGUAUCUGUACAAGCUAUUGACUUAUCGGUGAACAGAUUUUCUGGCAUUAUACCAAGUUCAGUUGGAAGUUGUGGUCAAAAAUCAAAAGGGCACACAGCAAGUCAAGCGUCCUGUAAUGCUUUAACUCUUUUUGGCCAGUGGGAUUUGCUACUUUUUAACUUAGCGGUGAGGAAAAGUUGCUAGUCUAAGUAAAGAAAAAGGAAAAGAAGAUAGAUGACUAAUCUUUUGGAAUUGAGGUUGAUUUUUGUUAAUUUUUGUUAAAAUUUGGAUUUGUUUAGUGUUGUUAAAAUUUAGAUUUGUUUAGUGUUUUUGAAUUAUGUCAAAAUAAUUUUUAAAAAAUAUAUAUUAUAUUAAUAUAUUUUUAAAUAAACACUUUAAAAACCAAACUUUAAAUGAUUCCGGAAUUUCCGUGGGGCUUCCUUAAUGGGUUGUGAAAAUCUUUUUUGAAGAAAGGUUUAUGAGAUAUUGUGUUGUUAAGGACUGGUUCUGAAUUUGUACCUACCGAUAUAUAGAUUCCAAGAAACCCUCCAAUACUGUGUUUGAAAUAAAGAUGAUGAGAGGAUCAAUGUGAACUCCCCCUUAAUUGUGAGUUGGCUAGCCCUUAUAUAACUGGUAGAAUUUCUUCCUGUUCGUUCUUUGCUAUAGCAUCGUUUAAAUUGUUUUGAUCUUCUCUUAUUGUCUGAUUUUUUCCAGUUGGUGUUUUUUAACGAAUAUUCAUCGACAUGGCUUUUAAUUACUAGUUACAUUUUACUGAUCAUUAUAAUCGUUUGUUUUCUUGUUGCUUGUUACAGGGUGUUGUUAUCUAUUUUUUGGGUUUUCACAAAACAAAAUGAGAAAAUACAAAAAAAAUAUAUAAAAAAAUAUUCAGAAAAAAUUCAAAAAAUAAUAAGAGCGAGAAAAAGAUAUUGAAAUACCAAGAAAGGCCAAAAUUGGUUAAGGAGGUUUAAAAAAAUACAAAAAAUUAAAAUUUAACAGUAUAUUUUUGACUUAUGAAAGCCCUGUUGACAAAGAAAAUUUAAGUUGAGGAAGAAAAGUCCAAAAUCAAAUGUUUAUGGACUCAAUUAAAUUUUAUCUAAGAUUUAAUUGAAUUUAUGGAGGGUUGGAUUGUAAGAAAAUUAAUUUUUAAGUUAUUUUAGGUUUUUAUUAGAAGAAAUUAAAGUUAUGGGGUGCAAUUAUAAUUGUGAAGAAUUGAUUUGAUCAAAUCAGGGGCUUAAUUGCAUACUUAUUGAAGUUUGAUAGCCAAUUAGGAAUUUAAUUGAAAUAAUCCAAAACCAAGGACCAAAUUGGAAAAGUCACUAAAAUAAAAGGAUCCAAUUACAACAUUUCCAGGGGGGCUUGAUUACAAAAAUGUAAAAACAUCCAAGGACCAAAUCAGAAAUAUCAUUUAAAGUUGCAAAAUGGUGCCGUUUCAAGGCACUAUUCAUUGCCUUCUCCACCGAUUUAGCAUACAGGAACCGUUUCAGCAACAAAUGCUGCAGAUCAUGGGAAACGUUUCACAGCUACUAUUUCUCUACCGUUACCGCUGUAAUAAUGGGGCUGAACGUCUUCAUCAUAAAGAAAAAUGCAUGCAGUUUUGGCUAUAAAAAGAGAUGGGGGGCAACGAGACACGGAGGGGGGAAAAAGAGGAGGAGACAGAGAGAGGAGAGAGGGCAGAGAAGAGAGGCUACAGUGAAGAAAAAAAGAGGAGUGUGACAGCUGAGAAGAACGUAAGAAAAGUGAGAGAGUGGAGAAAUAGUGAGCAAGCAUAAGGGAGAGAAGAGGAAUGAGAGAAAGAGGCAAACCGGACGGAAGUAGAGGACACGGUGAAGCAGAGAACACAGCACCACCAUCGUCUUCGUCUUCUCAAAACCAGGUAUGUUCGAUGCCCUUCUCCGUUUCCCUGCAAAAAUGAGAUGAUGCAUGUUAUUAUGUAAAAUACAGAAAGAAAACACAAGGAAACCGACACCAGAAAUCACCAGUUGCAAUACUCUGUUUUGUUUUUUUUUCAUUCUCGCACUGCAACAAAGAUGAUUAACAGAGCGAAGGUAAUUUAAUUACCUUCGCCCUGUUCAUGCACGAUUAAAUAUAUUAUGGUGUCAUUAGAUACAAAUACGCCUUGUAGUCUAGGUGGUAAGCUUACUUGGCUUUCAUCAAGGGAAUUCUUUUUGAAGGUGGUCACUGGCAUGGGCCAGUGACCACGCUAGGCUGGCUAAAUCCAGCCCAGCUACGCAGGUUGGCUGGGUCCAGCCCAGCCACAUGGGCCGGGUUGGGCCCAGCCCGAAAAAUUAAAAAAUUUGAAAAAAUUCUUUUUUAAAAUUUUUUGAUUUUCCGCAAGUAUUUUACUGCAUUUUGAUCAAUAUUGGUUUGUAUUUUUAUAUUGUAACGAUACAAAUCCGGUAUUAAAUACCUGGUUUUCAUCAAAAAAAAAAAAAUGUUUUGUUUUCAUGUAUACAGCCAAGUCUCUCAAAAAUAAAUCAUAUUAUAUUUUCAUAUAUAUAUAUAUAUAUAUAAAUAAAAAUUCAAAAAUAUGUAUUAGCAUGCAUUUUGGUUAUAAUAAUUAGUUUAUUCAAGUCAUGAGAACUAGGCCAAUAUUUCAAAAAAAAAUAUUUUGUUUUCUCUUAAUAUCUGGGUUUACAACCUUAUACGUAAGACGUAUCCCGGAUAUUAAAAUUCUUUUGUUGACGCCAAAAUUACUCGAUAAGAUAAGGAUCUUCUUACCGAGGAUGACUCUUCUUAAACCAUAGACGGACCAACAACUAGAAAACACGACUCGACCUUAGAUUUUAUCAAACAAUAAAACAAUACAACUUACCUUAGGUAGGGCGUAUUUGAGGUACUAAUACCUUCAUUUUACGCAACCAGUCUCCGUACCUGAUCUCUGAAACCAGUUAGGAUUCCUAGUGAUCAAAAUACUAGGUGGCGACUCUCAUUCUAUUUUUCCACUAAUAAAAGACAAGAAUUUCUUGUCUUCACACAUUUGCUACAUGAGAUAAUAUUUUGAGAGUGCAUGUUUUCACCGCGACGCCGCACAUGUGCGACACAAGGAAUAAUUAUCACGGGUAUAAAGCUUACUUCUACAUAUAUCAAGCAUAUAAAAAUAUGGCUCCCACUCCUGAUCCAUAUUUGAAGCUCGAUGUGUUCCUCAGUACUUUUAGAGGCACCGAUACCCGCAAUAGUUUCACCAGUCAUCUUUAUGAUGCUUUGCAGCGAAGCCAAAUUGAUGCUUACAUCGAUAAUAAACUUGAUGGAGGAGAAAAGAUCGAGCCUACCCUCUAUCGGACAUCAUUGGUGAGUUGAUAUCUCUUUAAGAUCUUUAUCUUUAUUCUUGCUCAAAAUUAGUUAGUCUUCCAAACAGUUUUCGCGAGUUGAAAUCUCUUGCUAAACUUAAUGUUAUUCGUUGCUCAAAACUAGUAAGUUUAUCGGACAAUAUUGGUGAGUUGAAAUCUCUUGUAGAGCUUAAACUUUUUCGUACUCAAAACUAGAAAGUCUUCCAAAUAGUAUUGGCGGGUUGAAAUGUCAUGCAGAGCUUUGUCUUUCUAAUUUUUCAAAGCUAAUAAGUUUACCAUACAGUAUUGGCAAGUUGAAAUGUCUUGUGAAGCUUGAUCUCAGUUAUUUCUCAAAACUUGCAAGUCUAUCGGACUGCUUGGGCGAGCUGAAAUCUCUUGUAUUGCUUCAUAUUUCUUUUUGCCCAAAACUAGCAUGUCUUCCAAACAGUAUUGGUCAGUUGAAAUGUCUCGCAGAGCUUAAUCUUAGUGGAUGCUCAGAACUCUAGCAAAUCUUCCAAACAGUAUCUAUUAUCUGGAAUCUCUUAAAUGGCUUAAGCUAGAACGUUGCUAUAUGCUGAAUAAAUCCCCAGUACUGAACCCGAGGUGUUCAGAAGUAGAAGAAAUAGCAUUUGGUGGAUGUCUCCAAUAUUUGAAUUUGGGGGCCUCUGGCGUGUCAGAAAUUCCCGGUAGCAUAGGCUCUUUGGUGUCACUGAGAGAUUUGAGAUUAUCUUGUAAUGAUUUUGAGAGGAUACCUGCAAACAUCAAGCAACUUCCCAUGCUAAUUAAACUCGAUUUGCAUGGUUGUGAGAGGCUUCAACAUUUACCAGAGCUUCCAUCGAGUCUACAGGUUUUAAUCGCGUCAUAUUGCAUCUCUCUAAGAUCAUUAGCAAGUAUAUUCAUACAAGGUGAGAAAGGGUAUGUAGCUGCUUCUCAGCAAUUCAGUUUCUCUAAUUGUCUCAAAUUGGAUCAGAAUGCAUGCACUCGAAUUAUGGAAGAUGCCCAUUUAAGAAUUCGACGCAUGGCAUCAUCAUUGUUUAAUCGGGUGAAUUCUUCUUCCCUCGAUCUUGCUUUAAAAAAAAACCAUGAUAAUUUUGUAAAUGUAUCUCACAUUCUCACUCUCUUCGGUGCAGGAAUAUUUUGGUAAGCCAAUUAGAGUUAGGCUGUGUAUUCCUGGGUUGGAAGUCCCGGAGUGGUUCUGUUAUAAAAAUACAGAAGGACCUUCAUUAAAUAUUCCGGCUCAUUGGCACCGUACUGCUAACACUGAUCAGUUCUUGGGUUUCACCUUCUGCGCUGUUGUUUCAUUUGGCCACAGUAAGAAAAAGCGUCCCGUUAAUAUUAGAUGUGAAUGCCAUUUGAUAACCCAAGGUGGAAACCAGAGUGAUCUCAAUUUCUACUGCUAUGAAGAAGUUGAAAGAAAGGAGCGG
rnacentral:lncRNA from 1 species